UUGUACAGCACCGGGUGGGCUGCAGUGAUUUUCCUUUUUGUGUGAUUUUCUUUUGGUCCACGGCUGCUGACUUGAGAUGACUGCACUAUGCUGUUGCUGUUGAGUCCAGUUAAUUCUACAAGACAUGCUGUGACACCAGGAGAGAUGAGUCCUCCAUCACAGAUGGUGUGGUCAGUGAAGAUGGUUGCCUGCAGGUUCAAGUUCAUUGCAUCUCCAACCCACAUCCACUGCCACUGUACUUAAGGGAAGUUAAAGACUUUCUUCUGCACUUACAUUUGGAUCAUCUAAGUCCAUGGUAGUCAUUCAGGCAGUAAUGCCUGGACUGAAAAGAAGCCAUCCUUAAAAUAUUACAACAUUCAAGCUCCUGUGUUGGAAUGAAAAACAAAUGUGGUGUUUAAAUUAGAGACUGCACUUGUGACAGAACAAUAAAUAUUUUAUUUUGAUUAUAUAAGUAAUGUAAGUACAAAACAAAGUUGUGGUAGCCCUAAACUUAUUUUCACAAUAAUUA